rnacentral:rRNA from 1 species
GCUCAACCGGGGAGGGUCAUUGGAAACUGGGGAACUUGAGUGCAGAAGAGGAGAGUGGAAUUCCACGUGUAGCGGUGAAAUGCGUAGAGAUGUGGAGGAACACCAGUGGCGGAGGCGACUCUCUGGUCUGUAACUGACGCUGAGGCGCGAAAGCGUGGGGAGCGAACAGGAUUAGAUACCCUGGUAGUCCACGCCGUAAACGAUGAGUGCUAAGUGUUAGAGGGUUUCCGCCCUUUAGUGCUGCAGCAAACGCAUUAAGCACUCCGCCUGGGGAGUACGGUCGCAAGACUGAAACUCAAAGGAAUUGACGGGGGCCCGCACAAGCGGUGGAGCAUGUGGUUUAAUUCGAAGCAACGCGAAGAACCUUACCAGGUCUUGACAUCCUCUGACAACCCUAGAGAUAGGGCUUCCCCUUCGGGGGCAGAGUGACAGGUGGUGCAUGGUUGUCGUCAGCUCGUGUCGUGAGAUGUUGGGUUAAGUCCCGCAACGAGCGCAACCCUUGAUCUUAGUUGCCAGCAUUCAGUUGGGCACUCUAAGGUGACUGCCGGUGACAAACCGGAGGAAGGUGGGGAUGACGUCAAAUCAUCAUGCCCCUUAUGACCUGGGCUACACACGUGCUACAAUGGAUGGAACAAAG